rnacentral:rRNA from 1 species
UACAGAGGGUGCUAGCGUUGUUCGGAAUUACUGGGCGUAAAGCGUGCGAAGGCGGUUUGCUAAGACAGGUGUGAAAUCCCCGGGCUUAACCUGGGAACUGCGCUUGUAACUGGCAAGCUAGAGUGUGGCAGAGGGGGGUGGAAUUCCAGGUGUAGCAGUGAAAUGCGUAGAGAUCUGGAGGAACACCGAUGGCGAAGGCAGCCCCCUGGGCUAACACUGACGCUCAUGCACGAAAGCGUGGGGAGCAAACAGG